rnacentral:rRNA from 1 species
CCUACGGGUGACAGCAGUGAGGAAUAUUGGUCAAUGGACGAGAGUCUGAACCAGCCAAGUAGCGUGAAGGAUGACUGCCCUAUGGGUUGUAAACUUCUUUUAUAUGGGAAUAAAAUGUUCCACGUGUGGGAUUUUGUAUGUACCAUAUGAAUAAGGAUCGGCUAACUCCGUGCCAGCAGCCGCGGUAAUACGGAGGAUCCGAGCGUUAUCCGGAUUUAUUGGGUUUAAAGGGAGCGUAGGUGGAUUGUUAAGUCAGUUGUGAAAGUUUGCGGCUCAACCGUAAAAUUGCAGUUGAAACUGGCAGUCUUGAGUACAGUAGAGGUGGGCGGAAUUCGUGGUGUAGCGGUGAAAUGCUUAGAUAGCACGAAGAACUCCGAUUGCGAAGGCAGUUCACUGGACUGCAACUGACACUGAGGCUCGAAAGUGUGGGUAUCAAACAGGAUUAGAUACCCGAGUAGUC